rnacentral:rRNA from 1 species
GAGAAAUGUAGCGUAUAGAUGUGGCUAUCAGUUUGUGCUACAUAUCCAAGUCCCUUUGAUAGGGGCCAUAUUCCUGAGAGGGUGCGAGACCUGUGCGGAUAGUGGAGCAAGCUGUACGGCUAUAUCUUGGAGUCGGGUUGCUUGAAAAUGCAGCCUAAAGUGGGUGAUAAACUUCAUCUAAGGCUAAAUAUAGACGCGAAUUCGAUAGCAAACAAGUACUGUGAAGGAAAGUUGCAAAGAACUUUGAAGAGAGAGUUCAAGAGAACGUGAAAUCGCUGGAGUGGAACCGGAGAGAGUUGACGUAGUCGGGUAACUAAAAUCACCGGAGUCACUUAAAUGUGAUCGAGGCGUUUCUACGUUGCCUAUGACUGCGCUGACAGCACUGGCUGUGCGUUCCGAACCGUUUGCGUUGCCCAUCGUUUUCAUUACGGUGGUGUCUUGUUUACGGUUAGGUUUGUCAUGAUGCUAGUGUUUUAUCCUGUUUCUAAGGCAGGGUGUCAGUGUGAAAGUCGACCACCUCUCCGACCCGUCUUGAAACACGGACCGAGGAGUGUAACUUGUACGCGAGUCAAAGGGUGAAAAACCCCACGGCGAAAUGAAAGUAAAGGUCGGUUAACCGGCUACCAUGGGAUCCGUUUUUUUUUUUCGUAACGGCGGCGCACCAUGGCCCUGUCUCGCCUGCUUGCAGAUGGGCAGCGGUAGAGCGUACAGGUUGCGACCCGAAAGAUGGUGAACUAUGCCUGAGCAGGACGAAGUCAGAGGAAACUCUGGUGGAAGUCCGUAUCGGUUCUGACGUGCAAAUCGAUCGAUAGACUUGGGUAUAGGGGCGAAAGACUAAUCGAACCAUCUAGUAGCUGGUUCCCUCCGAAGUUUCCCCCAGGAUAGCUGGAGCUCUAUACACGGUUAUAUCCGGUAAAGCGAAUGAUUAGAGGACUUGGGGUCGAAACGACCUCAACCUAUUCUCAAACUUUCAAUGGGUAUGUUGUCUCGGUUUCUUUACUGAACUGUUGACACGAACGUGAGCUCCAAGUGGGCCAUUUUUGGUAAGCAGAACUGGCGCUGUGGGAUGAACCAAACGUUGGGUUAAGGUGCCUAACUUCUCGCUCAUGAGACCCCAUAAAAGGCGUUGGUUGAUAUAGACAGCAGGACGG